UUGGAGGGCAAGUCUGGUGCCAGCAGCCGCGGUAAUUCCAGCUCCAAUAGCGUAUAUUAAAGUUGUUGCAGUUAAAAAGCUCGUAGUUGAAUUUCGGGGUUAGUAGGUUGGUCGUGCCUCAGGUAUGUACUGAUCUCACUGAUUCCUCCUUCCUGAUGAACCGUAAUGCCAUUAAUUUGGUGUUGCGGGGAAACUGGACUGUUACUUUGAAAAAAUUAGAGUGUUUAAAGCAGGCUAACGCUUGAAUACAUUAGCAUGGAAUAAUGAAAUAGGACGAUCGAUCCUAUUUUGUUGGUUUCUAGGAUUGACGUAAUGAUUAAUAGGGAUAGUUGGGGGCAUUAGUAUUCAAUUGUCAGAGGUGAAAUUCUUGGGUUUAUUGAAGACUAACUACUGCGAAAGCAUUUGCCAAGGAUGUUUUCAUUAAUCAAGAACGAAAGUUAGGGGAUCGAAGACGAUCAGAUACCGUCGUAGUCUUAACCAUAAACUAUGCCGACUAGGGAUCGGAUGAUGUUAAUUUUUUAAUGACUCAUUCGGCGCCUUACGGGAAA
rnacentral:rRNA from 1 species